AUUGAACGCUGGCGGCAGGCCUAACACAUGCAAGUCGAACGGUAACAGGAAGCAGCUUGCUGCUUUGCUGACGAGUGGCGGACGGGUGAGUAAUGUCUGGGAAACUGCCCGAUGGAGGGGGAUAACUACUGGAAACGGUAGCUAAUACCGCAUAACGUCGCAAGACCAAAAAGGGGGACCUUAGGGCCUCUUGCCAUCGGAUGUGCCCAGAUGGGAUUAGCUAGUAGGUGGGGUAACGGCUCACCUAGGCGACGAUCCCUAGCUGGUCUGAGAGGAUGACCAGCCACACUGGAACUGAGACACGGUCCAGACUCCUACGGGAGGCAGCAGUGGGGAAUAUUGCACAAUGGGCGCAAGCCUGAUGCAGCCAUGCCGCGUGUAUGAAGAAGGCCUUCGGGUUGUAAAGUACUUUCAGCGGGGAGGAAGGGAGUAAAGUUAAUACCUUUGCUCAUUGACGUUACCCGCAGAAGAAGCACCGGCUAACUCCGUG
rnacentral:rRNA from 1 species